AAAGGGUGACUUUAAAGGAGACGCUGAGCGCCAAUUCCACUCCCCUGCUGCAGGGGGAGAAGUCCUUCUCUGCUUUGCUAGAAGAAGAGGAGUUCUUUAUCCCUGGGGACACUGAAGAACACAUUAAGAGAGAUGAAGGAAGAGAGGGAAACAUCGAUGGGAGAGAGAAGCAUCAGUCGGUUGCCUCCCAUACUCUCCUGGACCAGGGAUCGAACAGGACGAUGCUCCAACCAAGCCACACCAGCCAGUGCAAAAGAGACUAAAAUUUUGUCAUGCGGAAAGGAGGUGCUGAGAGUCAGAACUAAGUAAGAUUGAUGUAUCCUCACGCUUUUUGAAACUGCUAGAUUUUGACAUGAAGGUUUGGCCGUGGAACCAGUGGAUAUACUGCCGUUCUGCUCCCUCAUUCUUAUGACUUUAAAGCACGUCAAGGAAGAACAAAUAUAAGAGGGAAGAGAGAAGACUGUUGUUUGGACAUAAAUGUCCUUAACAGAGUCCAGGAGUGAUAGGGAAGCUAUUAAAACAUACAAUGAUAAAUUGAUUUAUGCUGAACCGAGCUGCACCAAGUUAAACUUAUUUUCCCACACUUUCUUUGAAGGUCUCUUUAGUUCCAUAUUUAUUGUAUAAGACAGCUCGUAAUGCCCUCUCAAGUGUGGAGAAACAGCAGAAUUCCUCAGCCAGAAGAAAACAAAGAAACACCAAAAGGUUGUAAAAGCAACUUCUUCAAGCUUAAGACAUCAUAUCAUAGAAAACAGAGGAGAGAACUGUGGUAAAUUCCUUUGUAAAGCAACUGUAGUAUGUGUAGUCCCACCUAAGUUUAUGUGUUUUGUGGAUCUGAUUUUGGGUUUUCUUAAAGUAGGACAUACCCGUGCCCUAUCAGGACCUCUCCCUAAGAGUGAAGCAACCUUGAAAUGAAUCAACAUGAGCAAUUACUACCAUCAGUAAUUCUCCCUCUCAUACCAUGCUAUCUAUAUGGGUUUCCUAUUUGGUAUUAAGAGCUGAAUGGAGGACUUCCGCCAAGAUGGAGGUUUAGGUGGAUGUGCCGUGCCUCUUCACACAACCAAGUUUAGGGACAACUAAAUAUUAGCAUCAGAAAACACAACCAGAACACGGAAAACUGAACUUUUCGGAAGUCCGCUAACAACAAAUUCUUCAGCCCGACCGGUAAGGGGCGAAACCGGCGUUGGGUGAGGAGUUACAAAGGAGGGCUCGGUCGGACCCGGGCGCGGAAUCCAGACGCGCGAAUCCAGUCGCACGGGUUCCAAACCCAGGAUUGGACCUAGUGAGCGACCG